UCGAAAAUAAUAACGGCUUUCUUUCUUCUCAACUAUUAACAGCAUUGAGUAAGUUGCCACUAAUCUUUAAAAGUAUAACAUGAUCGCACGAAAAAUACAAAGAGUAAUUUACUUUGUUCUUGUGUUGUGGUUCAUCUCUAUCACUAGUGAUAUAUUGAAGCCCGUCAAUCCAAUACAGAAUGCCAGGUUCUGUAUAAAACUUUUGGGUUUUAAUUGUACCAGACAUGAGCAAUGCUGCGAGUGGCUGUGGUGUGAUAAUGGCAGAUGUCUACUCAAAUCUCUGGUCCCUUAUUACAAGAAAUAGCAAGAUAUGAUCACGCUGAUUCCUCCUGCAAAUAAUUUAUGCUCGAAACAAACGUAACAUUAUUGGCGAAUGAUAAUAAUGUUACAUCAGUCAAUGUUUCAGUAUUCAAUAAUACACUGUUUGUAACAAAUUUCUGAAACGACACGAUUCCAUCUUUGUAUAAUUUUUCGUUAUGAAAUGUAUUUUUAAACAAUAAACUGAAUAAAAUACAA